rnacentral:tRNA from 1 species
AUAGCUCAGUGGUAGAGUGCCUGCCUAGCAUGCACAAGGUCCUGGGUUCAGUCCCCAGU